rnacentral:rRNA from 1 species
ACGGAGGGUGCAAGCGUUAAUCGGAAUUACUGGGCGUAAAGCGCACGCAGGCGGUUUGCUAAGUCAGAUGUGAAAUCCCCGGGCUCAACCUGGGAACUGCAUCUGAUACUGGCAAGCUUGAGUCUCGUAGAGGGAGGUAGAAUUCGAGAUGUAGCGGUGAAAUGCUUAGAGAUGUGGCAGAACACCAGUGGCGAAGGCAGCUUCCCGGACGAUGACUGACGCUGAGGUGCGAAAGCGUGGGGAGCAAACAG